rnacentral:rRNA from 1 species
GACGAACGCUGGCGGCGUGCUUAACACAUGCAAGUCGAACGGAAAGGCCCUGCUUUUGUGGGGUGCUCGAGUGGCGAACGGGUGAGUAACACGUGAGUAACCUGCCCUUGACUUUGGGAUAACUUCAGGAAACUGGGGCUAAUACCGGAUAGGAGCUCCUGCUGCAUGGUGGGGGUUGGAAAGUUUCGGCGGUUGGGGAUGGACUCGCGGCUUAUCAGCUUGGUGGUGGGGUAGUGGCUUACCAAGGCUUUGACGGGUAGCCGGCCUGAGAGGGUGACCGGCCACAUUGGGUGUGAGAUACGGCCCAGACACAUACGGGCGGCAGCAGUGGGGAGUAUUGCACAAUGGGCGGAAGCCUGAUGCAGCAACGCCGCGUGCGGGAUGACGGCCUUCGUGUGGUAAGCCGCUUUCGCCUGUGACGAAGCGUGAGUGACGGUAAUGGGGAAAGAAGCACCGGCUACCUACGU